UACGGAGGGUGCAAGCGUUACCCGGAAUCACUGGGCGUAAAGGGCGUGUAGUCGGUUAUUUAAGUCUGGUUUUAAAGACCGGGGCUCAACCCCGGGAGUGGACUGGAUACUGGAUGACUUGACCUCUGGAGAGGGAACUGGAAUUCCUGGUGUAGCGGUGGAAUGCGUAGAUACCAGGAGGAACACCAAUGGCGAAGGCAAGUUCCUGGACAGAAGGUGACGCUGAGGCGCGAAAGUUUGGGGAGCGAACCGG
rnacentral:rRNA from 1 species